ACCGGAGGAGCCGCCUUCAUUAAGUUUUACUAGGAAUGGCUUGAAGAUGUUUUGAGCUGCUCCAAAGAUGUGCUUACCAACAUAGGCCUUUAUCAUGUUGUAUAUGCAUCUUUGUUCAGUUAUGAUUGCCAUCCUUCCGUCCGUCGUGCAUUCUUUUAGCAUUGGUGUUCAACAACCAACACACUUCACACGACUCAAGGGGAGAUGUCAUUUCACUUAAGGAUCUUCACAAGAUAGGAAGCUUGCCGAUCCAAGGAAAAUUUUAUGACGAGGUUGUUCCUAGUGUGGAG